rnacentral:rRNA from 1 species
UACGUAGGGUGCAAGCGUUGUCCGGAAUUAUUGGGCGUAAAGAGCUCGUAGGCGGUCUGUCGCGUCUGCUGUGAAAACUCAGGGCUUAACCCUGAGCUUGCAGUGGGUACGGGCAGACUAGAGUGCGGUAGGGGAGACUGGAAUUCCUGGUGUAGCGGUGAAAUGCGCAGAUAUCAGGAGGAACACCCGUGGCGAAGGCGGCUCUCUGGAUCGGCCCUGACGCUGAGGCGCGAAAGCGUGGGGAGCGAACGGG